rnacentral:rRNA from 1 species
UGGGGAAUAUUGGGCAAUGGGCGAAAGCCUGACCCAGCCAUGCCGCGUGAAUGAUGAAGGCCUUAGGGUUGUAAAGUUCUUUCGCCGCUGAAGAUAAUGACGGUAAGCGGAUAAGAAGCCCCGGCUAACUUCGUGCCAGCAGCCGCGGUAAUACGAAGGGGGCUAGCGUUGUUCGGAAUCACUGGGCGUAAAGCGCGCGUAGGCGGUGUCAUAAGCCAGAGGUGAAAGCCUGGAGCUCAACUCCAGAACUGCCUUUGGAACUGUGACGCUGGAGUCUCGAAGGGGAUAGUGGAAUUCCGAAUGUAGAGGUGAAAUUCGUAGAUAUUCGGAGGAACACCGAUGGCGAAGGCAGCUAUCUGGUCGAGUACUGACGCUGAGGCGCGAAAGCGUGGGGAUCAAA